UACGUAGGUGGCAAGCGUUGUCCGGAUUUACUGGGCGUAAAGAGCGCGCAGGCGGUCGUUCAAGUCGCGUGUGAAAGCCCCCGGCUCAACUGGGGAGGGUCACGCGAUACUGAUCGACUCGAAGGCAGGAGAGGGUAGUGGAAUUCCUGGUGUAGCGGUGAAAUGCGCAGAUAUCAGGAGGAACACCAAUGGCGAAGGCAGCACUCUGGGACGUGACUGACGCUGAGGAGCGAAAGCGUGGGGAGCGAACAGG
rnacentral:rRNA from 1 species